rnacentral:rRNA from 1 species
UACGUAGGCAGCAAGCGUUGUUCGGAGUUACUGGGCGUAAAGGGUGUGUAGGCGGUUGUUUAAGUUUGGUGUGAAAUCUCCCGGCUCAACUGGGAGGUGCGCCGAAUACUGAAUGACUAGAGUGCGGGAGAGGAAAGUGGAAUUCCUGGUGUAGCGGUGAAAUGCGUAGAUAUCAGGAGGAACACCGGUGGUGUAGACGGCUUUCUGGACCGUAACUGACGCUGAGACACGAAAGCGUGGGUAGCAAACAGG